rnacentral:rRNA from 1 species
ACUCCUACGGGAGGCAGCAGUGGGGAAUAUUGCGCAAUGGGGGAAACCCUGACGCAGCAACGCCGCGUGAAUGAUGAAGGCCUUCGGGUUGUAAAGUUCUGUCUUCUGGGACGAUAAUGACGGUACCAGAGGAGGAAGCCACGGCUAACUACGUGCCAGCAGCCGCGGUAAUACGUAGGUGGCAAGCGUUGUCCGGAUUUACUGGGCGUAAAGGAUGCGUAGGCGGACAUUUAAGUCAGAUGUGAAAUACCCGAGCUUAACUUGGGUGCUGCAUUUGAAACUGGGUGUCUAGAGUGCAGGAGAGGUAAGUGGAAUUCCUAGUGUAGCGGUGAAAUGCGUAGAGAUUAGGAAGAACACCAGUGGCGAAGGCGACUUACUGGACUGUAACUGACGCUGAGGCAUGAAAGCGUGGGGAGCAAACAGGAUUAGAUACCCUGGUAGUCCACGCCG